AGGGAAGGAUUUGAGAGAAAUGAGGUGUCGGGUUACCACACUUUCAAUGUUUAGAGGGGGAGGGUUUGAGAGAAAUGUGACAAGUUGGGGUCCCGCUCUUGUAUUUGUUGCUGAUGUCACCUCUGCCAUCAAGCUGUGAAGCUGAUGCUGUUGCUCCGUUCAGGUUUAAUAUGGUUCUGAUCUGUCAUCUCAUAGUCACGGUCAUUUCUUCCCUCAGUGAGAUUCCCCCACACCCCGGAACACCUUCGGUGCCUCCCCAGGUGCCACCUGUCAGUGUUUCAAUGCCUUUUGCUUCCCUUUCAUGCUUUUGGGCAUCCUUAGUCAAUGAAAGUAGUGUAUGGAAAUCACAUGGUGCCGGGGUGAGGUGGGGGUGAAACAGAACUUUAGCUCUAGAGGAACACUCCUGAUGAUGGAUGUAGGGGGUGGGGUCUUAGAUGCAAAUAAAGCAGUCCGUGAUGCAGGUCUGACACAACCUUGGUGACUUCACAGGAGGCACAGGCCGAUUUUCAGGAUGCCUGCUGCUUCUGAGCCUCUCUCGAGGGUGGAGGGUCGGUGCAUCUGGAGCUGGCAAGAGGAAAGGGGGAUGUUAAUGUUGCUAUAGAAGCAGGAAGGCAGGGGAAGAGAAAAUGGAGUGGAAGGGCAAAGAAUUAAAGCUUUUUCUGGUACUUUUCUGGCCAUCCCUUCUGGCCCUGACACCUUACCCCUGACCCCUUUUCUAGCCAUGUGUACCAUCCCCAGAGGCAAGCACGGGGCUUAGAAUGCGCAGCUCUCGGUGCCACGUGGCCCUCUAGUCUCGGUGGAGUCAGAAGGUUUACCUGUGGCAGGCCUUAUCUAGUUUAAACUAACAUUGCUAAAGAGCCCUGUGCUUUGAAGGUUUGUGCAGAAGCUGCAGGCAGAAGGGAAAUUGCUGGAAAUACAAGGAAGGUUGUGCUCAGGGAGCCAGUGCCCACCUCGCUGAGGGAGCACGGAGGAGGGCUUCCUCUGCCCCUCGCUUGCUUUUUUCAGCAGGCUGUGUGAGGAGCCAAAGGCUUUUCCUAGGUCUGUAAUCUCUACUGAAACCCAAUCCACGUAGCACACAGUCCACCCACUGUAGAUAUACAAGCCCAAGGUUCUUAGUACAGUCGCCGACCGCACAGCCAUCGACCGCCAUAGUCACUGACCAACAUUUUCACCUUCAGCAAAAACUCACAUGGUAAAAAAAAAAAUUAUGUGGAAAAUAGACUUUCGUUUGUGAUUUUGUUGUUGAAAAAAUCUGUAAGUGUGAUCUACCAAGACAAUCAUACCUUGUCUUCAUACCUAGGCUUGAGGGGGAAAUAAAACUCUUAAAUCUCACAAGUAGAAGUUGAAGCAAUUUAUUUAAAAUUCGUGUGGCUUUGGAAGGAGAAAUGGUGGACAGACACACAUUGGAAAUUAGGGGGGAUUUAGUAUGUUAGCUCCAUGCUUCAACAUACCAAGCGUUUAUCUCUCCCACUUGUACGUAUCCAUUUUCCAUAAACUUAAACACAAGACUAAGGGACUGGAGAGAGGACUCAGCCCUUAAGAGCAGUUGUUCUUGCAGGGGACCUGGCUUCAAUCCCCAACACCCCUCGAUGGCUCACAAACAUCCAUGAUUCUGGUUCCAGGGCAUCUACCACCCUUUUCUGACUUCCUCAAGCACCAGACAUACACAUGGUGCUCACGUAUAAAUUCAAGCAAACACUCAUACUCAUAUAAUUUUAAAAAUU
rnacentral:lncRNA from 1 species